AGGAUCAUUAUCGAGUUUGAAGUGGGCUUGAUGCUGGCGUCUCUCCAGACGCAUGUGCUCAGCCCCGCUCAUCCACUCAACCCCUGUGCACUUCGUCGGAGUCAAUGGGUCGAUUUGCGGCCUUUGGCUUUGACUUAUCAUUAUAAACGCUUUACUUGUUAUGUAGAAUGUAAUGCCUCUUGUUGGGCGAAAUUAAAUACAACUUUCAACAACGGAUCUCUUGGCUCUCGCAUCGAUGAAGAACGCAGCGAAAUGCGAUAAGUAAUGUGAAUUGCAGAAUUCAGUGAAUCAUCGAAUCUUUGAACGCACCUUGCGCUCCUUGGCAUUCCGAGGAGCAUGCCUGUUUGAGUGUCAUGUUAAUCUCAAUCCCCUGGGUUUGUUAUGAACUCUUGAGAUUGGACUUGGAGGUACUGCUGGCUUCACCGUCGGCUCCUCUUGAAUGUAUUAGCUGGGCCUUUAGCCUCGCGCUCGUGGUGUGAUAGUUUAUUCACCUUGAGUGUGGCUUGUAUGGUCUGCUUCUAAUCGUCUUAAUAGACAAUACCUUGACUCUCUGACCUCAAAUCAGGUAGGACUACCCGCUGAACUUAAGCAUAUCAAUAAGCGGAGGAAAAGAAACUAACAAGGAUUCCCCUAGUAACUGCGAGUGAAGCGGGAAGAGCUCAAAUUUAAAAGCUGGUAGCUUUG
rnacentral:rRNA from 1 species